AUGUUCGAUUUGUCACCGAGGAGAGCUUCGACUUCGGUGUGCUGUCACCGUCUGACAGCCAGGAGGAAGAGGAGGAUGAGGAUAGCCCGGGAAGGGGGUGCCGGCACGGGGACAGCAAUGGGCGCUGGAGUCCCCUCAGUGGGCCCCGUCUGGAAGAGAUGGUGCGGGAGGCCACGCGCUUGGCAGCACAGUUGGAGGGGUGUCACCUGCCCCCUCCUGCUCCUGGAGACACCCCNNNNNNNNNNNNNNNNNNNNNNNNNNNNNNNNNNNNNNNNNNNNNNNNNNGAAGGACAGCGGUGCGGGCACUCCUGCCCACCGUGGAGUCUCAGGGACCUGCCCCCAUCUCCCGCCCCCCUGCCAAGCCCCGGGGGGCCUCUGCUGCCACCAGCGUCCCCAAGGCAGCCCCCAGCCGUAAUUCCACAGCAGCGGCAAAGGGACCCUUGGGUGGCAGGGGGCUCCCCCCCAGCCGCACAGGCCCGCCCCGGCCAUGCCCUCCCCAGGGACAGAGGGCUGGUGCCCGGGGCAGGUCAGAGCCCCCCCAGGGGGGGACAGCAGGUAGUUAUGGCAAGGGAAUGGGGACACCGUGGCCAUGGGGGCUUCUGGGCCAUACCCCAACCCCCCCUCUCUCCCCAGGCCAGGCUAAGGUGAGGGGGGGCACAGUCUCCUGCCCCCCCCCAACCCGCCAGCCCCACACCAGGACCACCGCCACCCCUGGCCCCUCCGGCUGUUCCCCGGCACCCACUGCCCUCCCCAAGGUGUCCCCUCGGACUCCAGCAGCAGGUGGGAGGACCCCCACCCCCAGAGGUAAGGAUGUAAUGGAGUUUGGGGGGCACAGGGGAUGCCCCAUCCCCCGUGCCUCAGUUUCCCUGUGGCUUCUUUCUUCUUUGCAGGUGCAGGGGCAGCACGGGCAGCCCCCACAACUGGUGCCUCGGGGUGCAAACCAGGACCCCCUCCCACCCGCCUGCGGCCCUCCCGCAAGACGGCGGUGAGCAGCACCCCGAGGUGACACCCCCAAACCACCCCACACCCACCCAGAGGCCCUGGGGGCACCCAGACCCCCCCUAGGUACCAGCUAAGGUACCUAGGUUGGGGGUGGGGGGCAGAGCCAAGGCCACCCCAGGGAUGAGUUGAGACAUCCACUGGGUUUUGGAAGGAGGCAGGCAGCACCAGGGUCCCCCAGGGAGCAGCCAAGGCACCCGUUGGGUUGACAGGUUGCAGGGCAGAGCUGGAACCCACAGGGACCAGCUGAGGUUGGGGUGGCCGAGCCAAGGGCGUCCCCAGGGAUGAGCCGAGGCACUCAUUGAGUUUUGCUUUAAUUACAAAAGUUCUCAUCAGCAGUAGGAAACCCCCCACAUUCCCCAGCACCCAGGGGCCCCUCAUCCCCCCAACACCCAUCCCUGGGUUCCCCCACCUGAGCCUCACCCCUGGGCAGGGGUGUCCCAGAUUUCCCUGUAACCCCUAGCUGAUCCCCCCUCCACAUGCUCCCCACCUGGGGGAGUUGGCACCAUGGGACAGGUUGCACCUUUGUGGGAGUUGGCACCUUGGGGGGCAAGGGGGGUUGGCACAACGGGGGAAGUUGGUUAUAAAUUCCUUUUUUUGUAUUUUCAUGUAUUUUUUAAAUAAAACACUCUGCUGGGCAAAGGGGCUGGGGGUGAUCAUGGGGGGACAACAGGGGCACCCUGUGCCACCUUCCCAAGGUGCCAAUCCCUGCAAGGAUGCAAAGUGCACUGGGGGGAUGGUUGUGGCUCCCUGCUCCUUCCGGAUGUCCUCUCAGUCCUUGUGCACCCCAGUCCUGGUGUGUUCUACCCCCCGCCCCCCCCACCCCGGUGCCCUCCCUGUCCUGGUGUCCCUGGCACAGUGGGUGGGCUGCCUGCUGGGUGGGUCCCCAUUAGAUCGAGGUCUCGUCGCUCCUGGUGGGGGGACGGACAGGUGGGGGGAGGAGGGGGAUGGAUACAAAGUACAGGAUGAGGGGAGAAUAAAAAACAAGACAGACAGAUGCAUGAUGGAGGAGGUGGAUGCCAGGGUGCCCUCUGUGCCCCCCGGCACCCAGCGCCAACCCCUUGGGGGAGAUGGUGGGGUGGGGUUUGGGGUGGGAGCCCCCAGCCCCCUUGGGUUAAUGGAGAAAAUUAAAAAACAGAAAUCUGGGGGGUAGAGGGGAGAAAAGAGUAGGGUUAGUGCUGCUGUGCCACCUCUGCCCUAGGCAUCUGUGGGUGGUCAGGGGUACCCAGUAGGCACCCCAGCACCCAGUGAACACUGCAAUGGGCACCCUGACAUCUAGUGAGCACCCAGUGGUCAACGGGCACCUUUGGACAGUCAGUGGGCACCCAACAUGCACUCCAACACCCAAUGGGCACUGUUAGACCCAAGGGGCACCCAGUGUGCACACAGAAGUCAUUAGGCACCCAAUGGGCAGUCAGUGUAAACCAAAUGGAUACAUAAUGGUCAAUGGAUGCACAAUGGGCAUCCAGUGGGCACCCAUGGACAAUCAACUGGCAUCCAGUGGGUGCACUUAGACCUGAUGAACACCCAGUGAGUAUUCGAUGGGUAUCCAACGGGUAUUCUGUGGGUUCCCCAGCCCUCAAUGGGCACCCAGUAGGAAUCUAGUGAAAAACCAACAGCCACCUUUGCACGCCAUGGGCACCCAAGAGGAAUCCUGGCACUCACUGGUCACCCGUUGGUUACCGUGGCACCCUACAGACACCCAACAAACACCCUACACGUGAUGGGCACCAAUGCGCACCCUGGCACCAAUAUUCAUUGGAUCCAAAGGGACUGCUGGGACCUGAUGAGCACCCAAGAAGGAACCCUGGCACCUGAUGGGCAUCCAAAGGGCACCUGUUGGGCACCCUGACACCCAGUGGACACCCAAAGGGAACCCUGGAACCUGACUGAUACCCGACAGGUAAUGUUGUACCCAAUGGGUGUCCAGUCAGUACUGUGGCACCUGAUGAGCAGCCAACAAGCAGUGUUGGAUCCAAUGAGUGCCCAAUGGGCACCU
rnacentral:lncRNA from 1 species